CAUAGCGACUAUCGUGGCAUAUCAAUAAGCGGAGGAAAAGAAACUAACAAGGAUUCCCCUAGUAACGGCGAGUGAAGCGGGAAGAGCUCAAAUUUGAAAUCUUAAAGGGUUUACCUUGACGAAUUGUAGUUUAAAGAAGUGUUUUCUGUUGGAGUUUCGGUAAAAGUUCUUUGGAAUAGGACAUCAUAGAGGGUGAGAAUCCCGUAUUUGGUACAUUCUUUCUAGCUGUGUGAUACACUUUCAACGAGUCGGAUUGUUUGGGAAUGCAGUCCAAAAUGGGUGGUAAAUUUCAUCUAAAGCUAAAUAUUGGCGAGAGACCGAUAGCGAACAAGUACCGUGAGGGAAAGAUGAAAAGAACUUUGAAAAGAGAGUUAAACAGUACGUGAAAUUGUCAAAAGGGAAGCGUUUGACACCAGUGUUGUUUUCUCGAAAAUCAAUUAAAAAUGAUGGGAUUUUGUGUUGUAUUGACUUUAUCAGCUUUCUGCACUUUUUUCUUAUCUUUUUUAAUGCACUUUUCGUUUAACAAGUCAACAUCAAUUUCUUUUGUUGUAAAAGAGUCAUUGGAAGGUGGCUUUUUCUUCGGAAAAAGUGUUUAUAGCCUUUGGCUUCUGCAAUCGGAGAGAUUGAGGUCUGCAGCGUAGAUCCUUCGGGGUUAGAUACAUUUGUGCUAAGCUAUAGCCUUGUAUAGACAACUUGUUGACUAUGCUCAGUCAUGUAGCUUACUCGCUUGUGCUAUUUUACCUACGCUUAGGAUGUUGAUAGUCACAGCGUGUAC
rnacentral:rRNA from 1 species